AAAGAGAUCCUGGAAUUAAACAGAAGAUACCCUAGUGUCACUCAGAUAUCUGGUAAAUUUGUCAUAAUUUUAAAGAAGAUGUGGAUGUUUUAUAUCAUAUGAAAAUAUCCAUUGAUUAUUAAUUAUGGUGCUAAUAAGUACUACAUCUCCUAAAUCUACACAUACCCUAAGAUAACGAAAAUUUUACAUAAAUAGCAUUUUGAAUGACCAUAAUGUAUAAGAAAAUUUGGAGAGUAUCUCUGGACUGUCUAUUAUACCAUCCUUUCUUCUUUUUACUUCUUAUCACUCAUUACUCCCUUUCAGUUACUGGAUUGUGAAAUAUGAUAGAUCAAAAUUUUAAAUACAUACAGCAAUUGGUAUAUCCAAUAAAUAAGACAGCUAGAUACUAAUACUCAGUUUACACGAGGGGGUCAGAAUCUGCAGUAAGGGCCUCCUAAUAUUCCUUCGUAAUUUACUUACAAUUAGACGUAUGCUUUAUUUCUGCUAUUUGCUAAAGCUUACAAAUUAUACACUUUUAAUGAAGUCAGAAAAGGAACUGGACUUCUCUGUAGCUCAUUAAAUCCAUUCCAUUUUACAUAUAGGCAGGAUUUAAGUACACUCUAUUGUCAGUAGCAUCCACACUAGUUUUAGGUGACAACUGAAAGCCUAACAACCCAUGGUUUAUCUCAUACAAAUUUCCUGUUCUGUCCCAGAUUUAUAUAUCUUAGCAAAUGAGCCUAGCUGUAUCUCCAAAGCUAUUUUACAAAGCCCUACUAUUACUCUGAUUUUGUUGUUUCAUCAGUUUCCAGACAACCAGUAAUAUGGCAAACACAUUCACAUGCUAAUAUGGCCUCAAGGACAUACCUGAAUUUAUAGUCAAGUAAUCACACUACAAAACAAACUUUCUUUUCUCCUAAAACGUGUUGCCUUUCUUAUACCAGGCUUAAUAUUCAAAUUACUAUUGCAUUAAUCAUGGAUAGUCUCUAAGAUAUGAAAAAUUAGAUUUAAAAAAAAAUUUCUUACUCUCAUCCAUUAAAACCUAGACAUCAAACAAAUGUUCAGAUUCCGUAGUGUAAACUGCACAUUAAUAUGUCUUCAUUUAAGACUUUGAUAACUACCUAUAAUAUAACUGAUUCCCAAAGUGAGGGCACAAAUCCUUUGAGAAUUCAGAGGUCUAAAUUAUUUUUGUUCUCCUACACCAUGCCUUCAUCUCUGUCUUUGCAACUAUGCCUCUCUCUCUGCCUAGAGUUUGAGAAUGAAACAAUGUCAUUCUUUUCAAAUUUGUUCUUGGUCAUGAAAGGCUCAAUAAACGGUAAAUUUCUGAGAUUGAGUGAUUUUCUUUUUUUUUUUAAUUCUUCACAUUUUCUUGCAGGAAUAUGUGCAUGUCUAAGAUAUUGCAAUACUCUGGCAUGGACUAACAAGAAAAGGAAGCUAUAAGGAUAAAUGUGCUUGGAGAAAGAAAAAGAAUAUGAGAUAAUCUAAAAAUUUGUAUAGAAAUGUGACUGUAACACAGAUUGAUGAAAGAUUCUGCAGGACGACAAAGGUUAAAGAUGCGGACCCGGAGCUAGAAGCCAGCGCUGACACUGAUGGAGUGGACCGCGAUGAGAAUGCCCACAUUAUGGUCCUAUCCUCUGAUAACCAAGGUAAUAUGAAAACCGACUACAGAAGAAAGGAACAAAUUAAAUCCAUUAAUCAAGCAUAUCUCUGCUAAACAGUUGUUCGAAACUGAUGAACAAAUGAAAAAUUUACUGUUUGUUUUCAUGCUUGCGAGGAUUGGGGAAGAAAAUUAAUUAUAAGGUACUGGCCACACUAUUAGUUAAGUUUUUCUUGAGGAAACUAUUGCCUUGUCAAAGGACGAAUGAACCUCAUUAGGGAGAUUAGUUUCAGCUGGUAGUUUUGCAUUAGUACAAACUAAUAAUACACACUUCAAAAGAUACCCUGAGUGAAAUUAUGAAAAUUGAAAUCCAUUUGUUACUUCUUAAUUUACUGUGAGAAAAUGACCACUCUAUUACUUAUCAUGAAAGCAGAAGGAAAUCAAACAUUGCUCACCUUUCAUCUAAGUGCCUGAAAGAAAACUGUUCCAGUGUGGGCUUUGUGAGUGCUGCGAUGAUGAACUUACGCAUCCAGGAGUUAUAACUUGGCCACGGCAUUUUACUCUUACGUUGAAGCAUGUCACGCGGAACUCCAUGCCAAACGCAACUUUUGAUAAGCUCCUUUGAAAUCCUUUUCUUUUCAAAAUGUUUUAAAUGACCUGGACAAAUAGCAAACUGACAUCUGAUAUUCUGAAAUUCCCCUUAAAUCUAUACAGUGCAAGAACAGAAAAGAGAAAACGCUACUUUGCUAUCAAUCCUGUAUGGCCAGUGCACUGAGGCUCCUUAGCUGGCCACAGUGAGUGCAGUCCGGUUUCAAUGUUCAUUUAAUCCCUGGCCUUUCUGUCAAGGCAGCGAAGAACAGGGGCAAUCACUGCUCUGGAUGACGGGGAGGGCUUGGCUGCAGACACGAGUCUUCCAAACCUGGAGGGAGACCAGGCUCAUUCCAAAGAGUGUGUAAAUCAGCUGUGAAAUAAUAAUGACUUCUUUGGGUUCUACUCACCCGGCCUGGAUUCAGACUGCUGACCCAGAAAAGAAAGGCCUCACACAUCCCAUUACCAGUCCUUUGAGCCAUUGAAGACAUCCCCAUCCAAUUCUGGCUUCCUUUCCUUUACAGCAGUCUUGCUCUUUUUUAUGGGCAUGUAAACCAAAUUGAUGUUUACUCACUGCUUUUGUUUGGUUCCUUGACCUAACUUCUCUCAUUUAACGGAAGGUUUCCCGGCAUAGUGUUUGAAUGAAUCAGGCCAAAUGACAUUAAAGUUCACUUCCUCAAUGCUUAAGCUCUGUUACUGAGAAAAGAUGGGGGUAGAGUUUUAAAGUAUUCUUCUUAAUGUAAAACGAAACGUUUUUCUCUAGACAUAUUGUCUCUUUAUAUUUUUAAAAGCCAGCAUUAUUUUUUUUUUUCAGGAAAAUUAGAUCAGUGUAUAACAGUGAUUCCACCAUUUACCUUGUUGUCCUGGAGUGGGUAGGAGAUUUCAGGACUAGCUAAGGGUUUUUUUUUUUCCAAAAUAAGUGUCCACGUUGAACGAAAAUUACAGGUUGUAUGGGACUGAGAAGUUAGACAAUGUAAGGGCUCUUCUAGUGAAAAAAAUCCAAAUUUGCAAAUAUUAAACAGAUGUCUUCGUUUGAGUUUUCCAAAAGCAAAUUCCAGGAGGAGAAUAUGAGCACGAUUCGCUCAUAUGAGAAGUGAUUCCAGAAGCACAACAAAAUCAUGAAGUGGUGACAUGGAGAAGGAAGACAGCCAACAGAAGGGUCACAAACAAUAGGGAGUACCACUCUGAGCAACUGGGGCUCACUCUUGCUGUGGGGCCCUCUGAAAGGCAUUUUAGACCACACCUCAGGAUGCCAAGUCAAGAGACAAAUGCUGGAGUGUAUACCACUGAGGCUUGUUCCUGGGGGUCACAGUUUCCCAGCAUUUCCAGCCUUCUCUGUCUUUGCAUAUGUUCAUGGGAGGUGUAUAUUCACGCAGCAAGAGAAAACCCUAAGGAAGGGAAACGCUAAGGUAGAAGCCAUAGACAUGUCCAAGAACCAUUCAGCAAAGCCCCAGUUGAGCUCCAGUGUAAGUUUAGGGUGGAGAAGGAUACUAGAAAAGUGUGACAGCUUCUCCACUAGAUGUCAGAUUGAAUAUUUAAUUAAAUAAAUCACAACAAAUCACAAAUUUUAAAA